ACCGCGGUGGUGUAGUGGUAGCGCAUCCCCCACAUGGAUGAAACGAGGGUUCGAGUCCCGCCUGAGGUC